AUUGAACGCUGGCGGUAGGCAUAACACAUGCAAGUCGACCGAGUGGCGGACGGGUGAGGAAUUCCUCGGAAUCUACUCUGUCGUGGGGGAUAACGUCGUGAAACUUACGCUAAUCCCGCAUACGAUCGAAUGCGCCCAUGUGGGAUUGGCUAGUUGGCGGGGUAAAGGCCCACCAAGGCGACUAUCCGUAGCUGGUCUGAGAGGAUGAUCAGCCACACUGGAACUGAGACACGGUCCAGACUCCUACGGGAGGCAGAAGUGGGGAAGAUUGGACAAGGGGCGCAAGCCGGAUGCAGCCAUACCGCGUGGGUGAAGAAGGCCUUCGGGUUGUAAAGCAAUUUUGUGGGGGAAGCGGUAGACGAAGAAUUAGCGCCGGCUAACUUCGAGCCAGCAGCCGCGGUAAUUC
rnacentral:rRNA from 1 species